rnacentral:rRNA from 1 species
UGUGUAGGCGGCGUCUUUAAGUUUGGUGUGAAAUCUCCCGGCUCAACUGGGAGGGUGCGCCGGAUACUGAGGGGCUAGAGUGCGGGAGAGGAGAGUGGAAUUCCUGGUGUAGCGGUGAAAUGCGUAGAUAUCAGGAGGAACACCGGCGGUGUAAGCGGCUCUCUGGACCGCAACUGACGCUGAGACACGAAAGCGUGGGGAGCAAACA